rnacentral:rRNA from 1 species
UAUAGGGUUAAUUUUUAUUUAUAAAAAUAAUUGUAGAUUAAAAAGGUUUUCGUAUUUUUUAAAGAAAAAAUUUAUUUAUUUAAAAUUGAUUAGUAUUGUGAGAGAAUUUUGAAAAACAUGAAAAUUUAUUUUUUAAAAAGUAAAUUUUAUUUAUUGUACCUUGUGUAUCAGGGUUUUUUAAAUAAAAAAUAUUAAAUAAUAUUUUUCUCGAAUUAAAAAGAUCUAUUUUAAGUUUUAUAUAAUUUUUAUUGUAGAAAAAAUAUUUUUAAUAUUAAAAUAGAAAUGAAAUGUUAUUCGUUUUUUAAUAUAUCUAGUUUUUUAAUAAAUGAAUUUAAUUCAGAUGUUAUUUUUAUUAAUUAAUUUAAUUUAAGAUUUAAAAUAAUAUUAAUAUUUUAGGGGAUAAGCUUUAAAAUAAAUAUUUAUAAUUAUUUAAUUUAAAUAAUUUUUUAUAUAGGCUUAGAAAUAGUUUUUAUUUAAAAAAUGUUAUAAUUUAAAAUUCAUAUACAUAUAUAUUAAAAUUUAUUUUAAGAUUUAAUUAUUUAUUAAAAUAAAUUAAUUAAUUAAAAAUUUUUUGAAAAAAUGAUAAAAUUAGUAAAUUUUAAAAUGUUAUGAUGUUAUAUUAAUUUAAUGUUAAAUUUAAUUUAAGGAAUUCGGCAAAUUUUAUAUUCACCUGUUUAACAAAAACAUGUCUUUUUGAAUUUAAUUUAAAGUCUAAUCUGCUCUAUGAUUUAUAAUUAAAUGGCCGCAGUAUCUUGACUGUGCAAAGGUAGCAUAAUAAUUAGUCUUUUAAUUAAAGGCUGGAAUGAAUGAUUGGAUGAGAUAUAUUCUGUCUCUUAUUAAUUUUAAUUUUAAUUUAAUUUUUAAGUCAAAAAGCUUAAAUUUUUUUAAAGGACGAGAAGACCCUAUAGAAUUUUAUAUUUAAUUAAAUUGAUAAAUUUAAUUUAUUUAAAAAUUUAAUUAAUUAUUUUAUUGGGGCGAUAGAAAAAUUUAAUAAACUUUUUUAAUUGAUUUAACAUUAAUAAAUGAAUUUUUGAUCCUUUAUUAUAUAGAUUAUUAGAAUAAAUUACCUUAGGGAUAACAGCGUUAUUUUUUUUAGAGUUCUUAUUGAUAAAAAAGAUUGCGACCUCGAUGUUGGAUUAAAAUUUAUUUUAGGUGAAGAAGCUUAAAAAUUAGGUCUGUUCGACCUUUAAAAUUUUACAUGAUCUGAGUUCAAACCGGUGUAAGCCAGGUUGGUUUCUAUCCUUAAAAUAUGAAAAUUUUUAGUACGAAAGGACCAAAAUUUUAGAAUAUUUUUUUAAAAGUUGAAUAUUAAUAAGUAUUU